rnacentral:rRNA from 1 species
UGCCAGACUCCUACGGGAGGCAGCAGUGGGGAAUAUUGCACAAUGGGGGAAACCCUGAUGCAGCAACGCCGCGUGAGUGAAGAAGUAUUUCGGUAUGUAAAGCUCUAUCAGCAGGGAAGAAAAUGACGGUACCUGACUAAGAAGCCCCGGCUAACUACGUGCCAGCAGCCGCGGUAAUACGUAGGGGGCAAGCGUUAUCCGGAUUUACUGGGUGUAAAGGGAGCGUAGACGGCAAUGCAAGCCAGAUGUGAAAGCCCGGGGCUCAACCCCGGGACUGCAUUUGGAACUGUGUAGCUGGAGUGUCGGGGGGGCAGGCGGAAUUCCUAGUGUAGCGGUGAAAUGCGUAGAUAUUAGGAGGAACACCAGUGGCGAAGGCGGCCUGCUGGACGAUGACUGACGUUGAGGCUCGAAAGCGUGGGGAGCAAACAGGAUUAGAUACCCCGGUAC